GGGGAUGACAGGCUUCGACGGAGGAGGCUGGUUCCGGAUUGCGAGCCGAGAGGCGCCGAUCUCGAAAAAUCAGCGCAACAAUUAAGUGCCAAACGCACUAACCUUUCUACUCUCCCCCUCGCCGCAUAGUCGGUGAGCUAAAGAGUAUGAUCCCAUAAGGGGUCACGUCCGUCUACCCCGAUCUCCGACCGGAGGUAGCCCGGGCGACACAAAGUCGGAGUGCCGCACGCCACACCACUAACCGUGCGAAAGAGGAUCUUAGGAUCUGAGUGGUUGGUUGGAUGAGUUCCUUUGUCGUUUGAGCCUCAUCUGACGACAAACUUCAAUCGACUACGCUCGUAGACAUUCGAGGACUUAAUCUUUCGGACGCGGGUUCGAGUCCCGCCAUCUCCACCU
rnacentral:tmRNA from 1 species